rnacentral:tRNA from 2 species
CCGACCUUAGCUCAGUUGGUAGAGCGGAGGACUGUAGUAGGCAACACCUGACUGAAAUCCUUAGGUCGCUGGUUCGAAUCCGGCAGGUCGGA